GGCGAGAUGGCCGAGCGGUCUAAGGCGCCAGACUAAGGACCAGGGUGCUUUGCGCCCACGUCAUCUGGUCCGAAAGGGCGUGGGUUCGAAUCCCACUCUCGUCA